CUCGUUCCUCCCCUCUUCUCCUUCUUUUUCUUACAUCCUCCUUCUCUCUUUCGCAUCGUAGCUACACCGACCGACGGGUAUAUAUCACGAUGCGGCAUCGAAGUAAACUCCCUGACCCUUUCGCGAAAGCUUACGAUACGGGAGAAAGAAGAAGACGAAGAAGAAGAAGAAGAAGAAGAAGAAGAAGAAAAAGAGAAAGAAAAAAGAGACUUCGAUACUCGACGUUGGGUGGGUGAAAGAGAAGUUUCGCCGAAUAACAACGAAAGAAGUUAUAGGCGUUCUCGUAUAAACAAACAAUAUGUACGGUCGAACUAAGUUCAUCGUCGAGGACGUUGCCUAUGAUUCAUGGAGACCCGUAUCCCAUUCUACGUAGUAACGCGCAACGCUCGAGUGCCUCCGUCCAUAUGAGGUGACGUAUCCGUAACGAAGUCUAUGGUGGAUGAAAGUUGUUGAGGACGAAGAAAACUUGGAGAGAGAAAGAUAGAGAAAGAGAAAUGGAGAUAACUGAACGAUAUAUAACU